UACAGAGGGGGCAAGCGUUGUUCGGAAUUACUGGGCGUAAAGGGCGCGUAGGCGGCCAACUAAGUCAGACGUGAAAUCCCUCGGCUUAACCGGGGAACUGCGUCUGAUACUGGAUGGCUUGAAUCCGGGAGAGGGAUGCGGAAUUCCAGGUGUAGCGGUGAAAUGCGUAGAUAUCAGGAGGAACACCUGUGGUGUAGACAGCUUACUGGACCAUAACUGACGCUGAGGCACGAAAGCGUGGGUAGCAAACAGG
rnacentral:rRNA from 1 species